CACGUAGGGGACGAGCGUUGUCCGGAUUCAUUGGGCGUAAAGCGCGUGUAGGCUGCUCCGAAAGUCGGAUGUGAAAGCCCUGGGCUCAACCUAGGAAGUGCACUCGAAACUUCGGAGCUGGAGUCCUGGAGAGGAAGGCGGAAUUCUCGGUGUAGAGGUGAAAUUCGUAGAUAUCGAGAGGAACACCGGUGGCGAAGGCGGCCUUCUGGACAGUGACUGACGCUGAGACGCGAAAGCGUGGGGAGCAAACAGG
rnacentral:rRNA from 1 species